rnacentral:rRNA from 1 species
CAGUCGCCGCGUUAAUGCGUAGGUCCCGAGCGUUGUCCGGAUUUAUUGGGCGUAAAGGGAGCGCAGGCGGUUUAGUAUGUCUGAAGUUAAAGGCAUUGGCUCAACCAAUGUAUGCUUUGGAAACUGUUAGACUUGAGUGCAGAAGGGGAGAGUGGAAUUCCAUGUGUAGCGGUGAAAUGCGUAGAUAUAUGGAGGAACACCGGUGGCGAAAGCGGCUCUCUGGUCUGUCACUGACGCUGAGGCUCGAAAGCGUGGGUAGCGAACAGGAUUAGAUACCCCUGUAGUCCCUGUCUCUUAUACA